AGAAAAACAGGAGAUCUUUUCCUAUUAAGGCAAAGGUACAGUCCAUUUAAAGAGGUCCUUUGACCUCUCAAAAUGCUGGAAUUACAGGGACUACACUGAGGAGUAUGACAAGUUUUCAGCUUGAGAAGGGCUUGCAUUCUGUAGGAGAAAUGAACAAACAGCAUUAAUGUUGAUGAUGCAACAUGGAACAAGUGCUAUGACAGAGAUUAAAAAACAAGUGCUUGUUCAUUUACUG
rnacentral:lncRNA from 1 species